rnacentral:rRNA from 1 species
GAUGAACGCUGGCGGCGUGCUUAACACAUGCAAGUCGAACGGAAAGGCCCAAGCUUGCUUGGGUACUCGAGUGGCGAACGGGUGAGUAACACGUGGGUGAUCUGCCCUGCACUUCGGGAUAAGCCUGGGAAACUGGGUCUAAUACCGGAUAGGACGAUGGUUUGGAUGCCAUUGUGGAAAGUUUUGUCGGUGUGGGAUGAGCUCGCGGCCUAUCAGCUUGUUGGUGGGGUAAUGGCCUACCAAGGCGUCGACGGGAAGCCGGCCUGAGAGGGUGUACGGCCACAUUGGGACUGAGAUACGGCCCAGACUACGACGGGAGGCAGCAGUGGGGAAUAUUGCAGAAUGGGGGCAAGCCUGAUGGAGCGACGCCGCGUGGGGGAUGACGGCCUUCGGGUUGUAAACUCCUGUCGCUAGGGACGAAGCGGUUUUGUGACGGUACCUGGAGAAGAAGCACCGGCUAACUACGUG